rnacentral:rRNA from 1 species
GACGAACGCUGGCGGCGUGCUUAACACAUGCAAGUCGAACGGAAAGGCCCUGCUUUUGUGGGGUGCUCGAGUGGCGAACGGGUGAGUAACACGUGAGUAACCUGCCCUUGACUUUGGGAUAACUUCAGGAAACUGGGGCUAAUACCGGAUAGGAGCUCCUGCUGCAUGGUGGGGGUUGGAAAGUUUCGGCGGUUGGGGAUGGACUCGCGGCUUAUCAGCUUGUUGGUGGGGUAGUGGCUUACCAAGGCUUUGACGGGUAGCCGGCCUGAGAGGGUGACCGGGCACCUUGGGCCUACGAUACGGCCCAGACUGCAACCUGAGGCAGCAGUCGAAAGUUUGACACAGCAAGGCGACGUCUGAUGCGGAAAUGCCGCGUUCGUGAUGACGUGUUACUGGUUGAGAACCGCUGUCGCAUGAAACGUAGAGGGAGUGACGGUAAUUGAUAAAAAAGCCCCGGCUAACUACGUG